rnacentral:rRNA from 1 species
CCUACGGGUGGCUGCAGUGGGGAAUAUUGCACAAUGGGGGGAACCCUGAUGCAGCGACGCCGCGUGGGUGAGGAAGUAUUUCGGUAUGUAAAGCUCUAUCAGCAGGGAAGAAAAUGACGGUACCUGACUAAGAAGCCCCGGCUAACUACGUGCCAGCAGCCGCGGUAAUACGUAGGGGGCAAGCGUUAUCCGGAUUUACUGGGUGUAAAGGGAGCGUAGACGGCGAGGCAAGUCUGAAGUGAAAGCCCGGGGCUCACCCCCGGGACUGCGUUGGAAACUGGGUAGCUGGAGUGCCGGAGGGGCAGGCGGAAUGCCGGGUGUAGCGGUGAAAUGCGUAGAUAUCAGGAGGAACACCGGUGGCGAAGGCGGCUUGCUGGACGGAAACUGACGUGGAGGCUCGAAAGCGUGGGGAGCAAACAGGAUUAGAUACCCUUGUAGUC